CGCCUGGGGAGUGCGGCCGCAAGGGUUAAAACUCAAAUGAAUUGACGGGGGCCCGCACAAGCGGUGGAGCAUGUGGUUUAAUUCGAUGCAACGCGAAGAACUUUACCUACUCUUGACAUCCAGAGAACUUAGCAGAGAUGCUUUGGUGCCUUCGGGAACUCUGAGACAGGUGCUGCAUGGCUGUCGUCAGCUCGUGUUGUGAAAUGUUGGGUUAAGUCCCGCAACGAGCGCAACCCUUAUCCUUUGUUGCCAGCGAUUCGGUCGGGAACUCAAAGGAGACUGCCGGUGAUAAACCGGAGGAAGGUGGGGAUGACGUCAAGUCAUCAUGGCCCUUACGAGUAGGGCUACACACGUGCUACAAUGGCGCAUACAAAGAGAAGCGACCUCGCGAGAGCAAGCGGACCUCAUAAAGUGCGUCGUAGUCCGGAUCGGAGUCUGCAACUCGACUCCGUGAAGUCGGAAUCGCUAGUAAUCGUGGAUCAGAAUGCCACGGUGAAUACGUUCCCGGGCCUUGUACACACCGCCCGUCACACCAUGGGAGUGGGUUGCAAAAGAAGUAGGUAGCUUAACCUUCGGGAGGGCGCUUACCACUUUGUGAUUCAUGACUGGGGUGAAGUCGUAACAAGGUAACCGUA
rnacentral:rRNA from 1 species